rnacentral:lncRNA from 1 species
CGACGACGACACUCCGACGGACAAAGGACCACGACACUCUAAGGAAGACGAACCACAAUGGUUGGGAUUGGGAGUAUACGUAAACGACAAUAGCUCAAAACGUGCUUUUGUGGGUGGCGGUUCAAAUCAAAGCUUCCAACGCCGCCGAUCACCGGAACGAACACCACUUCGUCACACGAAACUCCAGCGGACCAUGCUUGCACCAACACGUUUUUGGGAGGAGGCAGGUUGGCUAGGUGGGAGGGAGCAAGACUCACUCUAGGGUUCGCUUUCUUUCUCUAAGCUUGGGUUCUUUGUCACCUUGCCUUAGAUUCAAAUUCUGAAGAGAGAAAAUGAACCUCCUCACUUUCAAACCC